CCCUAUGACUUCAGUCAGCAAAGGAUACUAACAAACAUCCCUCCUAUGACAAAUUCCCCUCAGGUUAACCCUUUCGAGUACCCCACAACAAACUUCCACCAGCAAGCUGUUCCUUCGUUUGAUGCCAAUCCUCUUCCGUCCCAGGAUCCCAUGAAGCCUCUCCAGCAGGACCAACCCACUCAGACAAACCAGGUGCCUGUGAAGCUGUGAGGAGUCAUGAAAAGAGGAUGACACGCGUUCUACAGGAGAGAAAAUGACCUACAACACUGUUUCAUACAGUCUUAGUUAAAAUACUAAAAAGAUACCUUAUAAGUACAUUUUAUAGAGAAUAGAGUCACAGAGAUUUAAUACAUUACUGUAUCUAAUGACAACAUCAUUAAGAUAUAAUGAAACGUGUUUCUGAAGAAUGUGUUUCACUUUAUACUGUGUGCCAUUCAUUAAUAUUAACAUGUACUGUGCCUGUAAACCUUUCAGCAGCCAUUUUCUGUUAUUGUUAUUGUGAAAUGGACUUUCAUGCUUUAUUUUGACAGGACCUGGAGAAAAUGCUGCCUUUUCUAACCUUUACUAUUUGCAUUUAAAAAAAUAACAAUAAAGCAUACAUUU